GGUUGAUCCUGCCAGUAUUCAUAUGCUUGUCUCAAAGAUUAAGCCAUGCAUGUCUAAGUAUAAACUUUUAUACAGUGAAACUGCGAAUGGCUCAGUACAUCAGUUAAAAUGUACGUGGAUGUAAUUUACCAGUUGGAUAACCGUGGUAAUUCUAGAGCUAAUACAUGCAAUAAAAGCCUCGACUACGGAAGGGGUGCACUUAUUAGAUUAAAUCACGCUGGGUCUGGCCAGUUGAUGAAUCAUAAUAAUUUGACAGGAUCGCAAUUAAGCGACGAUCCACUCCAUUUUCUGC
rnacentral:rRNA from 1 species